rnacentral:misc_RNA from 1 species
CGGAAGUAAAAGUUCGUAACAAGGUUUCCGUAGGUGAACCUGCGGAAGAUCAUUAAAAAAUAUCACACGUUUUAUGGUGUGAUUUAAUAAUCAUCCUACCCUUUGUGAAUUUGUUUUGUUUUGAAAAUUUAUGUGGUCUAUCCCUGAUGGUUUUUGGAAAAGUUGAAAAACUUUUUCAAAUCCUCAGGGACUAGGCUUUCAUAGACCUUUUUUUAAAUUAACUUUUUGUAUUCAUUUGUCUAAAUUUAUUUUUAAUAAUUUAAAAACAACAUUUGACAAUGGAUCUCUUGGUUCUCGCAACGAUGAAGAACGCAGCAAAAUGCGAUAAGUAAUGUGAAUUGCAGAAUACGUGAAUCAUCAAUCUUCGAACGCAUAUUGCACUUUUUUAGUUUACUAAAAAAAGUAUGUCUGUUUGAGUAUCAGUAAAUAUUCUCAUAAAAAAUAUUUUUGUUUUUUAUGGUUAUGAGUGUUUUACAACGAUAACAAGUUGUUUCACUUUAAAUUGAUUUUUUAAAAUAAGCCAAUUUGGUUUAUUUCUAAAUUGGAUAAAAUUUUCCCGUAAAAAGGAAUAACUUUCAGUUUUAAAAUAAAUCUUAAAUUGGACUUUGAUAAAAAGGAAAUUUAUCUAAAUAACUUGAUCUCAAAUCAGAUAAGAGUACCCGCUGAACUUAAGCAUAUCAAUAAGCGGAGGAAAAGAAACUAACAAGGAUUCCCUUAGUAACGGCGAGUGAAGCGGGAAGAGCUCAAAUUUGAAAUCUCAAGGUUCUACCUUGACGAAUUGUAGUUUAUAGAAGUGUUUUCUGUUAUGGAGUGGCAAAAGUUCUUUGGAAUAGGACAUCAUAGAGGGUGAGAAUCCCGUAUUGGUCAUUCCUCCUGAGCGUUGUGAUCACUUUCAACGAGUCGGAUUGUUUGGGAAUGCAGUCCAAAAUGGGUUGGUAAAUUUCAUCUAAAGCUAAAUAUUGGCGAGAGACCGAUAGCGAACAAGUACCGUGAGGGAAAGAUGAAAAGAACUUUGAAAAGAGAGUUAACAGACGUGAAAUUGUCGAAAGGGAAGCGCUUUGACACCAGUGUUGUUUUUCCGAAAAUCAAUUACGAAUGUUUUGUUUUUGAGGAGUUAUGACUUCAUCGGCUUGCUCCUUUCUUUACGAAACUCUUCUUAAUGCACUUUUCGGUUAACAAGUCAACAUCAAUUUCUUUUGUUGUAAAAGGGUAUGAGGAAGGUGGCUUUCUUUUCGGAGAAGUGUUUAUAGCCUGUGCCUCUGCAAUCGGAGAGAUUGAGGUCUGCAGCGUAGAUCC